rnacentral:rRNA from 1 species
AAGCACGUAGGUGGGUUUGUAAGUCAGAUGUGAAAGCCUUCUGUUCAAAGGAAGAACUGCAUCUGAAACUGCAGAUCUUUAGUGUAGGAGGGGAGAGUGGAACUUCUGGUGGAGCGGUGAAAUGCGUAGAUAUCAGAAGGAAUGUCGGCGGCGAAAGCGACUCUCUGGCCUAUUACUGACACUGAGUGUGCUAAAGUUGGGGGAGCAAACGGGAUUAGAUACCCCGGUAGUCCUAACUGUAAACGAUGGGCACUAAGUAGAGGGGUUUU